UAUACAUAUAGUGCUCACUUCUAAAACUGGGACAAUGCAGGGCAGAUUAGCAUGGCCCCUGAGCAAGGACAACAUGCAAAUGAAUGAAGUGGUCCAUAUCUUU